GAGGCCUUAGCUUAAUUAAAGUGUCUGAGUUGCAUUCAGAGGAUGUAUGUUAGAGUUUUUACAGGUCUU
rnacentral:tRNA from 1 species